rnacentral:rRNA from 1 species
CACGUAGGAGGCGAGCGUUGUCCGGAAUCAUUGGGCGUAAAGAGCGCGCAGGCGGCUUGGCAAGUCGGGUGUGAAAUCCCGGGGCUCAACCCCGUGACUGCAUCCGAUACUGUCAGGCUAGAGGUAGGUAGGGGAGAUCGGAAUUCCUGGUGUAGCGGUGAAAUGCGCAGAUAUCAGGAGGAACACCGGUGGCGAAGGCGGAUCUCUGGGAUGAUGCUGACGCUGAGGCGCGAAAGCCAGGGGAGCAAACAGG